UACAGAGGUCUCAAGCGUUGUUCGGAUUCAUUGGGCGUAAAGGGUGCGUAGGUGGCGCUGUAAGUCGGGUGUGAAAUUUCGGAGCUUAACUCCGAAACUGCAUUCGAUACUGCGGUGCUUGAGGACUGGAGAGGAGACUGGAAUUCAUGGUGUAGCAGUGAAAUGCGUAGAGAUCAUGAGGAACACCAGUGGCGAAGGCGGCUCACUGGCCCGGUACUGACGCUGAGGCGCGAAAGCGUGGGGAGCAAACAGG
rnacentral:rRNA from 1 species